rnacentral:rRNA from 1 species
AACGAACGCUGGCGGCAGGCUUAACACAUGCAAGUCGAGCGCCUCGCCAGAGGAGCGGCCGACGGGUGCGUAACGCGUGGGAACGUACCCUUAUCUUCGGAAUAGCUCUGGGAAACUGGAAGUAAUACCGAAUGUGCCCUUAGGGGGAAAGAUUUAUCGGAUAAGGAUCGGCCCGCGUUGGAUUAGCUAGUUGGUGGGGUAAAGGCCUACCAAGGCGACGAUCCAUAGCUGGUCUGAGAGGAUGAUCAGCCACAUUGGGACUGAGACACGGCCCAAACUCCUACGGGAGGCAGCAGUGGGGAAUAUUGGACAAUGGGCGCAAGCCUGAUCCAGCCAUGCCGCGUGAGUGAUGAAGGCCUUAGGGUUGUAAAGCUCUUUCACCGGAGAAGAUAAUGACGGUAUCCGGAGAAGAAGCCCCGGCUAACUUCGUG